UUUUUUUCAGGUGUGUCAAGUCUGAAGAGAAGUCACUUGGAGUUGGAUUACAUACAUUUUGCAUAAGAGUAUUUGCUGGUAUUCCCGCACCUGUUUACUUUGGCGCUUUGAUAGACAGAACCUGUUUACAUUGGGGAACCCUGAAAUGUGGUCAGCGAGGGGCAUGCAGGAUGUAUGACAUAAACAGUUUCAGGCACAUUUACCUGGGGUUGCCUAUAGCACUAAGAGGAUCAAGCUAUCUGCCUGCCUUCUUCAUUCUGAUACUUAUGAGGAAAUUCCAGUUCCCCGGGGACAUUGACUCUUCAGCAACUGAUCAUACAGAGAUGAUGCUCGGAGAGAAGGAAAGCGAGCACACAGAUGUGCAUGGAAGUCCUCAGGUCGAGAAUGACGGAGAACUGAAAACGAAGCUGUAAUGAGUUUUCUACUGCCCUGUUCAAGGCCAUGAACAGAAUGCACACUUCCCUUCCUCGGAAUCCUGAGAGAUACAAUAGGAACCUUCUCUUUAAGGACCUCAACAAUUGUUUUUCUCACUAUAAAAAUAAUUGCUGAUAUCAUUUUCAGAAUUUCAGGUGAUAUUUAAGAUUUCCCUGGGGAAGACUUUUAUGGUGACCCCCACACUACACUUUAAAGCUUCCUUCAUUUUCACAUAACAUUUUCUCUUAACUCAAUCAAGGGAAAUAUGUGUUUCCCACACAUCUUCAAAUGAGUAUAAAACUUUCCUAUUCCUGAAACAGUAUUUAAUUUCAUUGAAUU
rnacentral:lncRNA from 1 species